AUAAAUCAAAAACACCAUAACUUAAUUGUAGUAGAUAGUGAUGUGAAUAU
rnacentral:guide_RNA from 1 species